AGGGAUAUAGCUCAGUUGGUAGAGUGCUUGCUUUGCAUGCACAAGGCCCUGGGUUCAAUCCCCAUCAACCCCC
rnacentral:tRNA from 1 species